rnacentral:rRNA from 1 species
UACGGAGGAUCCGAGCGUUAUCCGGAAUUAUUGGGUUUAAAGGGUGCGCAGGCGGGACGCUAAGUCAGGGGUGAAAGACGGUGGCUCAACCAUCGCAGUGCCUUUGAUACUGGUGUCCUUGAAUGUACUUGAGGUAGGCGGAAUGUGGCAAGUAGCGGUGAAAUGCAUAGAUAUGCCACAGAACACCGAUUGCGUAGGCAGCUUACUAAGGUAUGAUUGACGCUGAGGCACGAAAGCGUGGGGAUCGAACAGG